rnacentral:rRNA from 1 species
GGACGGGUGAGUAAUGCCUAGGAAUCUGCCUGGUAGUGGGGGAUAACGCUCGGAAACGGACGCUAAUACCGCAUACGUCCUACGGGAGAAAGCAGGGGACCUUCGGGCCUUGCGCUAUCAGAUGAGCCUAGGUCGGAUUAGCUAGUUGGUGAGGUAAUGGCUCACCAAGGCGACGAUCCGUAACUGGUCUGAGAGGAUGAUCAGUCACACUGGAACUGAAACACGGUCCAGACUCCUACGGGAGGCAGCAGUGGGGAAUAUUGGACAAUGGGCGAAAGCCUGAUCCAGCCAUGCCGCGUGUGUGAAGAAGGUCUUCGGAUUGUAAAGCACUUUAAGUUGGGAGGAAGGGCAGUAAAUUAAUACUUUGCUGUUUUGACGUUACCGACAGAAUAAGCACCGGCUAACUCUGUGCCAGC